UUAUGGACACGGUAGUUUGUUAUGUGAUGUGUUGCAAGGAAAUAAUUCAGAAAAACCAAUUAGUAUGCAAGUAUUUGUUGAUAUGUGUUUGUAAUUUUGUGUUGAAUAGACUAGAUGAGUCUGCCCUUCUUCUUUGUUGCAUGAAAUUGGAAGCUGAAUGUGGUUACUUGGCUUGUUAGGAGUAUGAAGUUUGAAUGUAACAGGCUCUGGUAUUGUGAAUGGUAUGUUCUGAAUGACUUGUAAGCUGCCUGAAUUGCUGAAAUAGAGUGUAUGCAGGGCUGUCUUGAUGCUAUUGGAUGGCUGCUGUAAAUAUAUGUUGCAGGGUACUGCAGUUGAGGAUUUUUCUGAGACAUUUGACUACUGAAGUAUGCAAGGGUGCAGCUCUGUUGUUGGGAGUGAGUUGGAGAUUUACAUGGAGGCAUGAAGAUUUAGGGACAGAAUUAGGAUGAGUUUAUGAUGAUGAUUCUUUCUUUGGUUGUAAUCUUUCCUUUGCGAUUUGUAGCGCCUUUGUAAUAAGUUAGGAUUGUUGUAAUAAAAUUUGGACCUUAUUAG